AGCGAACGCUGGCGGCAGGCCUAACACAUGCAAGUCGAACGAACUCUUCGGAGUUAGUGGCGGACGGGUGAGUAACACGUGGGAACGUGCCUUUUGGUUCGGAAUAACUCAGGGAAACUUGUGCUAAUACCGAAUGUGCCCUUCGGGGGAAAGAUUUAUCGCCUUUAGAGCGGCCCGCGUCUGAUUAGCUUGUUGGUGGGGUAAUGGCCCACCAAGGCGACGAUCAGUAGCUGGUCUGAGAGGAUGACCAGCCACAUUGGGACUGAGACACGGCCCAAACUCCUACGGGAGGCAGCAGUGGGAAAUCUUGCGCAAUGGGCGAAAGCCUGACGCAGCCAUGCCGCGUGAAUGAUGAAGGUCUUAGGAUUGUAAAAUUCUUUCACCGGGGACGAUAAUGACGGUACCCGGAGAAGAAGCCCCGGCUAACUUCGUGCCAGCCGCCGCUGUAACAC
rnacentral:rRNA from 1 species